CACACACGCACACACACACACACACACACACACACACACACACACACACCCCUCUGUGCAUGGGUGUGUUGGUGUGUUUGAGCUCAGUUCAGGAUUGUAAAUCUUCAGGAUUAUCAGUCAGAGACAUUUUUAUACAUCCUUCCUCUGUGUGUGUGUGUUAACGUGGCAUGAUGUCGUCACACAGGGCGAGGACACCUUGCUGGACCGUAGCUGUCAGACUCGUUAAGCCAGCACAGGAAUGCAGCGCGACUCAGCUGCUUUCUGCUUUGUAACACACUCUGAGAUCUCCACACUGGAGCAAUGGAGUUUAUGAAGUUCAUGGGACGCUGCUUCGGCUUCUUCCUUUUGGCCGUCGCCUUUGAUGUGUGCGGCCUCAUCCUGUUCCUGCUCGGCCUCUUCGCCCCACUCAGCUUCUGGGAUUUCUUUGUGAUCUCGGGGCCCAUCAUCAUUUUCCUCAGCCUCAUCUUCUGGAUCUUCUGGUACUUGGGGAACAUCAACGUACCCUACCAGGAGCUCCUUGCCUGAAGGAAUGGAAGGAGUUGAGGGGAAGGAGGGAUUGGGACAGGGACAGGGGUUUGGGGACUCUUGGAGUUUACGAGCAAACGGGGGGAAAUCAAGCACUUUAGUGGACCUGUGGAGUGGACGUCAUGGUUUAACACGGAGGGACCUGCUGCCGUGAUGACGUCUCCAAACCCUACAUGAGGAACACAACUUACACAAGACUGUGACGAACUUCUCCAGGACUCAAUCUGCAAUCUGCGCACUUUGUUUAAGGGUGCGUGUUCUGAAAUUGGAACGAGGUCCCGACAGUGGAGCCACUGUCACUGUCGUGUGUUCAAAUGCAAGAAAUAAAUGGGAUUUUAAUGCGAUGAAGGCGAGUUGAGGUGGAACCCAACCAAGUGUACUGAGAAUCUACUGUAAAUACUGUAAUGAUGUUCAGAUUCCAGGACAGAGCUGCUCAACUGGAAGAACCAGUGUGUGUGUGUGUGUGUGUGCGUGUGUGUGUGUGUGUUUCCGCCCAUUGACACACAGGAAGCUGAAAGUCCUGCAGCAUUAAGACUGAUCAUAUUUAAUCGCUAUAGCUGGUAGAAAUGUUCAGUUUACAUCAAAGAACCAAAUGAGACAGAAAGCAGAACUUCAGGUCUGUUUGGUGAUGAUGAUGAUGAUGAUGUCAGUGUUGUGAAAUGAGAUCUUCAUCUGUUCUUUUCUCUCUCUCUCUCUCUCUCUCUCUCGGCCUUAACCGCCAUAUUGUCUAGACCUCAGAUCACUGUGGAAUUAAAGCCACACCUCCUAAACCCAGGACAGUACGUGUUACAUCCUCGUAUGAGUCACUGCUCUGUUGAGAUCUGGAUUGUCGCUGGUCAGGAGGAGUUGAUUAAUUUUCUAUAACAGAAUUCCUUUCUAAUUCAGCAUCUCGAUGAGCAUGAAAUCAGUUUAGCGCUAUUAGCCAGCUACCUAAAAAACAGCAAUCUGAUAGCAUUAACCUCCGACUACUAUUAACGUUUACUUUCAAACAGCAGCUACGUUACAUUACAGUAGCAGUGACGGGCCAUUUUUUAAAGUCGUUGUCACUGUGUUGUGUAACGUAUCAAAUUAAAGAGCGUGACGAUCUGAACUGAAAACUUGUUUAAGUUUGUAAAUAUGUCUAAAAAAAAAACCCACACAGUUAUGAACAUUAGAAAAUCCAGUGAUUUAUAAAAUUUCCGUUUCUGUCCGUUGCCCCGGUCACAAACCAGCAACCAUUUUCCAUUGGUUUAAUUUUCCAUUCAUGAGAAAAAAACUCAAUCAGAAAUUAACAGACCAAAAAACCAAAAAUGAAGAGAUUUAGAGUUUUGAGUAUCAGGGUGAGAAUUACGGAUAAAGGCUUGUUCUUGUAGAUCACAAUUCCGCACCUCGAAGGCUUAAAAGUAACACAUCAGUGAAAUCGGUCCGUCCUUUGUGUUUAAACAUAAAAGCCAGAAUUUAGUGGUAUGUUCACUUUAAAUUGUGGACACCGAGCGUGACUAAUGAUGGCGUUGCUCGAAUGUGCUGUGAAUAAGGAGCUCAAACUUUUAUUUCUUCUCUUCAAAACAGUAUCACUGAUAUUUAUACGCCUUCUCAUUUUUUCUCCAUGAAAAAAAUAUUCAGAAAAUCGUCGAUUUUUUUGUUUUUAGGAAGGAUACAAAGUUUUCCUCAGUGAUCCAAUCUGUCGCAGGCACUAGACAGCAAAGAGUUCAGGCGAUUUUGUUGGAAAAUCAAGUCGACAUGAGGGAUUCGACCACUUGGUGUGAAUCAUGAGUUUCAAGCUGAUUGAACCAACAGUGAUUGAGCUGGAAGCAACAACAAAACACACGGACCGGUGAUGAGGAUCACUAUAAAACCCAAGAUGACGGCGCCUGUGAGUUUGGUGUGUUGCAUCGCACAACGUUAAAAAAUGCUUAAAAAUGCUAAAACUUAUCACAACGCCGCACAAAAUUAACAAUAUAUUCCGUAAAUAUGUUAUUUAUUCUUGAAUCGACACUAGAUUUAUGCAGAUUAAACACUUUUCAACAUCUUUAAAGGCCAAACAAAAACACGCUGUUCUCCCGGACAGACGUGCGGGAGGUUUAUCAGGGCGCCGUCGAGCCUAAUUACAGUCAUUUAGCAGAUGUUCCUUCCAGAGUGAUUCCUUCUUGCUCAAGCGCACUUCAACCAUUCCUGCUGGUCCAGGGACUCAAACCAGCAACCUUUCAAUCCUAAAGCUGCUUCUCUAACCAUGAGGCCAUGGCUUCCCCCAGCUUGCUGAUAUUUAAAAGCUAGCCGCGUUUUGUCGCAGGUUCCGCGGUAAGCUAGCUGAUGCGAGAUAAACGACUGAUCAGGGCUGUAAUUGGCCGAUCAAACAGAACUUCUUCUCUACCUGGUUUGACCCUGAGACACCUCUCACUUCACACACUCAGAUACGGGAAACACACAAGCUAAGAAUGCGUGUGUGUGGGUUAUGAACACACUGUUAAAUACGAUACUGCAGGAUUUGAGUAAGGCUGGCGCGCAGAGCCGUAGAGUCCCAAUGGAGUGAUCAUGUUGCGGUCCAGCGCACGCCCCGAGCAUCACCCAGGCUUUCAGAGAGAAGCCACUAAAAGCUUCCUGAUACGAUUAAAGGCUGUGUAAUGUGGAGUGUUAGACAUCGGUGUCUGCGCUUAAUCUCUGCUUUUAAUCAACCAGGAGGUUGACCGAAAACCUGCUUCUUAAAAUACACCAUCAAAAAAAAAAAUCUCCUGCAUCUCUGAUCAGGAUAUAUAACUUACUUUUUACUUUAAAAACACGUCCUACGGUACAUGAUCAUCUGAACGGGUACAGUAUAAAGAAAAGCUAAACGCUCAGAAGUCACUCCGGCGCGCUCCAGGACGCACUGCUGAACGCAGCGAUGUGAUGAAGCCGCGUCACCACAGCGACUUGGCAACAUAUAUUAACGUUUCCUUAUGAAAGAAUGAACUUUUUAUCUGUUUAAUUUUAUGGAACGUCCAAAAAGGCGAGUUAGCUCCUGUUCUCACUGACCUUAUAGCAGCUAUAAACAGUCGUUCCAUCCAUACGCUCUGUUUACGUUAAUAAGACACAAACGCAUGCAGAUUGUCGUAAAAGAAGACAAAGUGCGGACGCCGGAGACUCCAUGUGGAGUUGAUAAAUAAACAUCUUCUUACAGAAAACUUCACCGCAUCAGUGACUGUGGAACGUCUGCUGUAUACGGUAGCGAAUCAGAAUGAGCGCGCAAAUUAUAAAUACGACCUGCGUUACUCUUAGAGCAGCUGUUACAGAAAAUUAAUCAACACCUUCUGACCAAUCAGAGUCCAGAACUCAACCAAUAAUCAAUGCUUUAUUUAAAUUGGGCUCUACGUUAAAGUAUCAUAAAUUACAACCAUGGUAAUGUUUUACCGUUUUAUGUUUACAUCGAUUGAUUGAUAUGAUCAUUCAGGCUGCACAUCAGUAAUCAAUAAAGUUGUCUAUUUCUCCAGA